rnacentral:rRNA from 1 species
GUGGGUGAUCUGCCCUGCACUUUGGGAUAAGCCUGGGAAACUGGGUCUAAUACCGAAUAGGACCACGCGCUUCAUGGUGUGUGGUGGAAAGCUUUUGCGGUGUGGGAUGGGCCCGCGGCCUAUCAGCUUGUUGGUGGGGUAAUGGCCUACCAAGGCGACGACGGGUAGCCGGCCUGAGAGGGUGACCGGCCACACUGGGACUGAGAUACGGCCCAGACUCCUACGGGAGGCAGCAGUGGGGAAUAUUGCACAAUGGGCGCAAGCCUGAUGCAGCGACGCCGCGUGAGGGAUGACGGCCUUCGGGUUGUAAACCUCUUUCAAUAGGGACGAAGCGCAAGUGGCGGUACCUAUAGAAGAAGCACCGGCCAACUACGUGCCAGCAGCCGCGGUAAUACGUAGGGUGCGAGCGUUGUCCGGAAUUACUGGGCGUAAAGAGCUCGUAGGUGGUUUGUCGCGUUGUUCGUGAAAACUCACAGCUUAACUGUGGGCGUGCGGGCGAUACGGGCAGACUAGAGUACUGCAGGGGAGACUGGAAUUCCUGGUGUAGCGGUGGAAUGCGCAGAUAUCAGGAGGAACACCGGUGGCGAAGGCGGGUCUCUGGGCAGUAACUGACGCUGAGGAGCGAAAGCGUGGGGAGCGAACAGGAUUAGAUACCCUGGUAGUCCACGCUGUAAACGGUGGGUACUAGGUGUGGGUUCCUUCCUUGGGAUCCGUGCCGUAGCUAACGCAUUAAGUACCCCGCCUGGGGAGUACGGCCGCAAGGCUAAAACUCAAAGGAAUUGACGGGGGCCCGCACAAGCGGCGGAGCAUGUGGAUUAAUUCGAUGC